rnacentral:rRNA from 1 species
GUGAGGAAUAUUGGACAAUGGGCGCAAGCCUGAUCCAGCCAUGCCGCGUGCAGGAAGACGCAUCUAUGGUGUGUAAACUGCUUUUGUACGGGAAGAAACACUCCCUCGUGAGGGAGCUUGACGGUACCGUAAGAAUAAGGAUCGGCUAACUCCGUGCCAGCAGCCGCGGUAAUACGGAGGAUCCAAGCGUUAUCCGGAAUCAUUGGGUUUAAAGGGUCCGUAGGCGGUUUAAUAAGUCAGUGGUGAAAGCCCAUCGCUCAACGAUGGAACGGCCAUUGAUACUGUUAGACUUGAAUUACAAGGAAGUAACUAGAAUAUGUAGUGUAGCGGUGAAAUGCUUAGAUAUUACAUGGAAUACCAAUUGCGAAGGCAGGUUACUACUUGUGGAUUGACGCUGAUGACGAAAGCGUGGGGAGCGAACAGGAUUAGAAACCCGGGUAGUCC